CUCCAGAUGUUGCUGAACUACAACUCCCAUGAUUCUAUGAAUUAACUACGUAGGCUGAGAAUCAUGGGAGUUGUAGUUCAGCAACAUCUGGAG
rnacentral:miRNA from 1 species